rnacentral:rRNA from 1 species
GACGAACGCUGGCGGCGUGCCUAAUACAUGCAAGUCGAACGCACUCUCGUUUAGAUUGAAGGAGCUUGCUCCUGAUUGAUAAACAUUUGAGUGAGUGGCGGACGGGUGAGUAACACGUGGGUAACCUGCCCUAAAGUGGGGGAUAACAUUUGGAAACAGAUGCUAAUACCGCAUAAAACCUAAACACCGCAUGGUGUAGGGUUGAAAGAUGGUUUCGGCUAUCACUUUAGGAUGGACCCGCGGUGCAUUAGUUAGUUGGUGAGGUAAAGGCUCACCAAGACCGUGAUGCAUAGCCGACCUGAGAGGGUAAUCGGCCACACUGGGACUGAGACACGGCCCAGACUCCUACGGGAGGCAGCAGUAGGGAAUCUUCCACAAUGGACGAAAGUCUGAUGGAGCAACGCCGCGUGAGUGAAGAAGGUUUCGGAUCGUAAAACUCUGUUGUUGGAGAAGAAUGUAUCUGAUAGUAACUGAUCAGGUAGUGACGGUAUCCAACCAGAAAGCCACGG